rnacentral:rRNA from 1 species
GAUUAUGGCUCAGGAUGAACGCUGGCGGCGUGCAUAACACAUUCAAGUCGAACGGGUCUGUUCUGGAGCUUGCUUCGGAGCAGAUCAGUGGCGGACGGGUGAGUAACGCGUGAGCAACCUGCCCAUGUGAGGGGAAUAACACAGGGAAACCUGUGCUAAUACCGCAUGACACACAGACACCGCAUGAUGACUGUGUCAAAGAUUUAUCGCACAUGGAUGGGCUCGCGUCCGAUUAGAUAGUUGGUGAGGCAACGGCUUACCCAAGUCUGCGAUCGGUAGCCGGACUGAGAGGUUGAACGGCCACAUUGGAACUGAGAAACGGUCCAGACUCCUACGGGAGGCAGCAGUGGGGAAUAUUGGGCAAUGGGCGCAAGCCUGACCCAGCGACGCCGCGUGAGGGAAGAAGGUCUUCGGAUUGUAAACCUCUGUAAGCAGGGAAGAAAUAAAUGACGGUACCUGCAGAGUAAGCCACGGCUAACUACGUGCCAGCCGCCGC